UUUAUCAAUCCUAAUUAGCGUUGGUUACUGUAAGAACCACCACCAUCCGCCGGUAUUUCUGCCGCUAGAAACCACCACAAACACAUUUUGACAAAUACCCUUGCCACUCAUGUUAUAUCCCUCUAUUACUGCUCGCUUUUGUUUGCUAAAAUAUCUCCAGUAUUCGGUUGUUUUUAGACAUCAGUUCCUUCAUGAGAAUUGUAGCUCUUGAAAAGUUAACCAAUUUAGACUCCAGAAUCACUCGAUUCGGAACCCUGAGCUUGGAGAUAUGGUAUUCUGAAAUCGAAUUGUUGCUGAUGUUGAUAUUCCGUUUUAUUGCGUUGUGCUUCUCAAACCAAACCUUAUGUCCUCUUAUUUCAAAGGUGGUAUAUGAAGAGUAAUUGAGGAGAUUAAUUCAAGUUAAGAUGGUGAUCAAGUCUAUGAUUCUAUCUUGGAGGUUGUAUGUUUUUGUUCUUGAAUUCAUUAAGGAAAUGAUCAGCAUUAUUUGAGGUUUGUGGAGGCUUAAGCUGAAUUCAAUGGAGCUUGAUUGUACUCAAUGGAUUUAAAUUAUGUGUUAUAUAUUAAGGUUGUAUUCAUUUAGUAUAUGAAUUGUUGUAAGUUUAAUUGUGAGGUGAAAGGUUUAUUAUUUAUUCAAGGAUUAUUCAUUUGA